UUUCCCCUCCGAGUGCCCCGGAGUCCCUAGGAAGUUAAGGAUGUGUGUUCCCUCAUUGCCCCCUUGCUCUUUCCUACUCUUCUCUGUGUUCCAGGGUCCCCCGACAGAGCGAUUCCGAGGCUCUGCCACUAGCGGCUUGUCGGAUGCAGCAGAAGUCCUCGGAGAGCUAAGAAGUCGAUGAAAUCUUAUUUGGUACAGCUUUCACUAUUGCUUGCAUGUGGGUCUGGUUAAGGGUGGAAAUGCGCAGACGUUUCCCAAAUGCUGUUUACCUUCACAGCGCAUUGCACCGUGACUUCUGAAAGUAAAGAGAAACAGGCCGGAACAAUCAGUGAGUGCAACAUAGGGCAUUUUGUUUGAUAACAGGAACACAGCUGUGGUGUUAAUAAAAUGCUUUAA
rnacentral:lncRNA from 1 species